rnacentral:lncRNA from 1 species
CAAUCAAUCUCAUCGCAGUUUUACACCGUCGGCUAGGGUUUCAUAAUCUAACCAGAAAAAGGUAAAACUUACGCUUUCCGAUCACCAUGAGAGCCAAGUGGAAGAAGAAGAGAAUGAGGAGAUUGAAGAGGAAGCGCCGAAAGAUGAGGCAGAGAUCUAAGUAAUCUGUUUGUUGCUAAUCAUCAUCGGUAUCGUAUUAGUUUCUGUUUUAUGUUGUUUGUUUCGAUUUCUUCUACUCUUUAGUUGGAUUGUUAUUUGAUACCGGGAUUAUAAUCAUACCGUUUUAUUUCAUAUGUGUUGUGUUGGUUGUUUACAUUUAUGCAUCAGUAGUUUAUCCAAUCAUAUUCUUUCUUGGAUUAUAACUGAAAAUGAUGGUAUCACAUUCAAGUUU